GGGACGUGCCGGCCUCACGCUGCGGCGCGUCACGUCACGUGCGGCGCCGGCGGCCAUGGCGGGAAGCGAUCCGCGCAGCCGAGGCAGCUCCCCUCAGCCGCACCACAGCGACUGGGGUCGUCUGGAGGCGGCCAUCCUCAGCGGCUGGAGGAACUUCUGGCAGUCAGUGGGCAAGGAGAGGGCGGCCCCUAGGGCCUCCCCAGAGGAGGCAGACGAAGAGGCCAGUAUGCUGACGCGGCUGCCGAUUGAUGUACAGCUAUAUAUUUUGUCAUUUCUUUCACCUCAUGACCUAUGUCAGUUGGGAGGUACAAGUCAUUAUUGGAAUGAAACUGUACGAGAUCCAAUUCUGUGGAGAUAUUUUUUGUUGCGGGAUCUUCCUUCUUGGUCUUCUGUUGACUGGAAGUCUCUUCCAGAUCUAGAAAUUUUAAAAAAGCCUAUAUCUGAGGUCACUGAUGGUGCAUUUUUUGACUACAUGGCAGUCUAUAAAAUGUGCUGUCCACAUACAAGAAGAUCCUCAAAAUCUAGCCGUCCUAUGUAUGGAGCUGUCACUUCAUUUUUACACUCAUUGAUCAUUCAGAAUGAACCACGAUUUGCUAUGUUUGGACCAGGUUUGGAAGAACUAAAUACAUCUUUGGUGUUGAGCUUGAUGUCUUCCGAGGAACUUUGCCCAACAGCUGGUUUGCCUCAGAGGCAGAUUGAUGGUAUUGGAUCAGGAGUCAGUUUUCAGUUGAGCAACCAACAUAAAUUCAACAUCCUGAUACUAUAUUCAACCACAAGAAAAGAAAGAGAUAGAGCAAGAGAAGAACAUACAAGUGCAGUUAACAAGAUGUUCAGUCUACAGAAUGAAGGGGAUGAUCAACAGGGAAGCCGGUACAGUGUAAUUCCACAAAUUCAGAAGGUGUGUGAAGUUGUCGAUGGGUUCAUUUACGUUGCAAAUGCUGAAGCUCAUAAAAGACAUGAAUGGCAAGAUGAAUUUUCUCGUAUUAUGGCAAUGACAGAUCCAGCUUUUGGAUCUUCAGGAAGACCAAUGCUAGUUUUAUCUUGUAUUUCUCAAGCUAAUGUAAAAAGAAUGCCCUGUUUUUAUUUGGCCCAUGAGCUGCAUCUGAAUCAUCUAAGUCACCCAUGGAUGGUCCAGGAUACAGAGGCUGAAACUCUAAAUGGUUUUUUGAAUGGCAUUCAGUGGAUUCUUGAAGAAGUAGAAUCUAAGCAUGCAAGAUAAUCCUCCUUAGUCUAGACCUUGGGAACUGAAAGCAUCUGAAACUUGUUACUAAGGUCAUGAUGUGGAUAUUUGCUCAGUCAGCUCAUUCUGCCCUGCCUUUUUGCAGCUGGAAUAUUGGUCUCCUCCUGCCUUCAGACUUGGACUUGGAUGGGAACUACACCACUGGCUUUCCUGGGUCUUCACCAGAUUUCUGUAUCUCAGCUGAAGAUCUUGGAACUUCUCAGUCUCUGUAAUCACGUGAGCCAAUUCCUUAUGGUAAAUCAUAUGUGAUAUAUCAAUUAGAUAUAUAUAUAUAUCUGCAAUUGAUUGUGCUGUUUUGGAGAACCCAGACUAAUAUAGCAUGUUACUGCAUGCAGAGAAGCUGAAAACAAUGAUAUUAAUCAUUUAAAGAAACUUUAGUCAUUAGUCAUUUUAUAUCUUAACAUGACAGCUUGCUACAUAUAUAUAUGUAUUUUACUGUGAAUUAGUUAUGCUUUAGGAAAUUGGUUGAGGUUUUGAGUGAUAUAUAGAACGUUAUAAUUUUCCUUAUUUAAAAUAUUGAGAGACAGAUUCAAUUAGCAUUUAUUUUUAAAAUAUCUAAUUUACAAAGAUAAAUUUUUGAUUUUAAGUGGAUAAUUCCUAAAGUGGAAAAUGCUAUACCUAAAAUGGAAAUGCUAGGUCAUAGAUUGUGUGUAUCUUCAAGUUGACUAGAUAAUACCAAAUUGUUUUCCAAAAGUGGGGUGUGAAUAGUCCCACCUGAUGUCUAUGGUAAUUCUGUUGCUUACAUCCUCACCAACAGGGUAACCAAAUAUCCCAGUUUUUGUGGAAAAGUGCUGUUUUACAAAAAAGCCAGUUAUAAAACAUAGAAGGGACUGUCGAAGUAGAAAAAAAUAAUUUUGCAAACCCAAAUUAUAUUAAUAGAUUAAGGGGAGGAUUAUUAACUGGUAUCAAGAUCAAUAAGUAAAUGGUUUAUUGGAAAGUGCCUGUUGGUUAAUUGCUAGAAGAAAACCUCACACGUUAUUUUUUAAUCACAAGGAAAAAAUUUAAUCUGUACAGUGGAGAAGAAAACAAAAUAACUUAGAAUAAGAAUCAGUCAAUCAUACUGUCGUCAAUGAUUGUUAAUCAGGUAUUAUGUGCCUUUUGAUAUAAAGUCACAUGAAGUACACACCAUUGCCUAUGAAUUAUUCUUUGCAAAAAUACUAAAAUUGGAUUUAUUAAGUCUCUAAUAUAAUGUGUAGUUUAUAAGAAAUGUAGGAUAUAGACUGAAAAGUUAAAUGAUAGCAUAACAAAGAAACCAGAAAAAUCCAGAUAUAUUCUGUAGUAAAUAAUUAGCCUGAGUUCUUUAAAAAGUCAUGAUCGUGAAAAAGAGAUUAUGAUCUAUUAUAAGAAACUUGAGGGCCAUAAAAAUCAGAUGUAAGUUUGAUCCUAUAUUUGAUAUUUGAAUGGACAAACCAGCUGUAUGUGAUAUUUUUGGAUCAAGUGGAGAAUUUUAAACAUAGUCUAAGUACUAGAAGAGAGAAAAGGUAUUGAAA